UACGUAGGGUGCGAGCGUUGUCCGGGAUUAUUGGGCGUAAAGGGCUCGUAGGCGGUCUGUCACGUCGGGAGUGAAAACACGGGGCUUAACCCCGUGCCUGCUUCCGAUACGGGCAGACUAGAGGUAUGCAGGGGAGAACGGAAUUCCUGGUGUAGCGGUGAAAUGCGCAGAUAUCGGGAGGAACACCUGUGGCGAAGGCGGCUUUCUGGGCCCUACCUGACGCUGAGACGCGAAAGCGUGGGGAGCGAACCGG
rnacentral:rRNA from 1 species